UCCCCUUCCUUCCUUGGCCAUAGCACCUUUAAGAUGGAGAAAUUUUACACAUGUAUUAUUAUAUACCUUUCCUUAAAAUAUAUAUCAGGCCGGGCGCGGUGGCUCAAGCCUGUAA